GUCUUCCAACUUGAGCAUGCAUCUGAAUCCCCUGAAGGCUCACCCCGAGAUUCUGACGUUUGGGGUGACGUCCUAGGAUUUGCAUUUCCGACCAGGUGAUGAGAAUGAUGGCGUGGGACCACAUGUUAAGAACUUAGACAGGUGAAGGACAAUUACCUGUAAAGAAGGCUGGUAGAAGAUUUUGGAGGCUUGGUAAAUUUCUGGCGCAUGCAUGUGUGCAUGCUCAGUCACCUCAGUUGUGUCUGACUCUGAGAUCCAUGGACUGUAGCGUACCAGCCUCCUCUGUUCUUUGGAUUCUCCAGGCAAGAAUACUAGCAUGGGUUGCCAUGCCCUCCUCUAGGGGAUCUUCCUGACCCAGGGAUCGAACCCCCAUCUCCUGCAUCUCCUGCACUGCAGGCAGAUUCUUUAACCCACCGAGCCACCUGGGAACCAAACAUCUGGUACCUGUCUUUUUUUGCAGCCCCCUUAAGAAGAGCAUUUCACAAGAGACUUCAGUCUCUGAAAAGAUUCUCAGGAAACUGGGUUGGCUCUAAGGUAACCAAAGCACAGGCCCCCAUGGGAAUCAAAGGCAGCACCUGGUGGCUUGUUAAUGGGUUGCUAGGCAACGGAACAAAGGUGAGGGCAAGGGCAGGAUAGGCAGGUGGUGGGGAUUUUCGAGUGAGACUAAGGCAUUCGGAGGGUAGACAUCUAUCAGAAGGCCAGGGAAGCCAGAUGAAGGAAUCCCCUCCAUCUUGCCUUGGUUUGCACGUGGACGGGCCCACCAUCCCUGUGCGGAGAUGUGGAUGCAGUAACUUAGCCUCUAAUGGGAUCGGGGAAUAUUUUUCUCAGAAGAACCACUGAGAACCCACGAGGGACGUUUCUUAAUGAGUGAUAGGGACAUGGUCAGCAGUUUGCCCGGAUCUCACAAUUGGCAAGAGUGGAGCUGAGACCUCCAAACCCUCAUCUGUUCCACAGGUUCCCUCCCACCCCCUCCACAUCUCGGAGCAAAGCAGAGGGUCAUUGUUCAGACUUAGCAGAGGCUGGGGAGCGCACAGUGGGUGCUCUGAAAGCCGGAGCUAACCCCCGCUCAGAAACCUCGGCCUCGUGACCUGCUGUCCACUCUCCCGCCUGAGUUGUCCUCGCCUGGAGCAACAAAUGCAGCAACAAGGAACCUGCACCCAGAGCUUCCUGGGGACACAGCCCCGAGCGGGGCGCAGGCCCUGUCCGGCUGCCAUCACCACCUACGCGAUCGCACUCAGUCAUCACAGGCCCGGGCCUCAGACUGCGUGUCACUUUCCAGGCCCUCCUCCCACAAAAAUUCUAGCCUCCCAGCCUCCAGGGCGCUUAGUUCACCCCAUAAACUCGACUAAUGCUUACCACAUGCGGCGGAGCUCCGCCGACCGCGCCCACCUCGCUUUGGCUCAGAAUCAGCAGGAGACCCUCCCUCUAGAGGACCCUCCCCUGGGGGACCCUUGCUUUAGGAGACCAUCUUCACGCAGGGACCCUCCCCCUAGCGGACCCUCCCCCUGGGAGAUCCUUCUCCUAGUGAACCC
ensembl:lncRNA